ACAGGGAUUGCCAGAAUUUAGUGGUUUGGUAUCCUCUGUACCUGCUGCUGAGGAGCCACCUGCUAAGUAGAAACAGUUGGAUGCAUGUGGGAUAAUCUCUUAAUACUGCUCCUACUGUCUUGUCUCCACUCAUAUGCAGGAUAUGUUGCAUCAUCUUUCUGGAUGUGCUUUACGAGAGCACAGCAAGAGGCCAGAUGUGUUUUGCAUGGAGGAGGGCUGAUCUGGAGAGUGAAAACAGCUUGCUGCUUGGAGGACUGUCCACAAAAGAACAAAGCCCUGAGGACACUUCCCUGCACUGUGCCCCACUAGAGAUAAUGUGAGCCAAGAUGUUUGCCUCAGGACACACAACUGUGUGAGACAGUCUCUUGUUAAGUGUUUUGUUUCUUUGUUUUCCUAGGAUUCAUGUGCUCCAGUGCCUGGUGCUCUGGGUGCUGUUGCUCCU
rnacentral:lncRNA from 12 species